rnacentral:rRNA from 1 species
GACGGGGGAUGCAAGCGUUAUCCGGAAUCACUGGGCGUAAAGCGUCUGUAGGUGGUGAUGCAAGUCACUGGUGCAAAACUCUGGCUCAACCGGAGGAAAGCCAGUGAAACUGCAUGACUAGAGUGUGGGAGAGGUAGAAGGAAUUCCCUGAGUAGCGGUGAAAUGCGUAGAUACAGGGAAGAACACCGGAGGCGAAAGAGCUCUACUGGAACACAAUUGACCUUGAGAGACGGAAGCUAGGGGAGCGAAUGGG